GUGUUGAUUGCGGUGAGGGUCCACCCGUUCCCAUCCCGAACACGGAAGUUAAGCUCACCUGCGCCGAAAAUACUUGUCUGGAGACGGACCGGGAAGAUAGGUAACGCCGACA
rnacentral:rRNA from 1 species